UGGGGAAUAUUGCGCAAUGGGGGAAACCCUGACGCAGCGACGCCGCGUGCGGGAUGAAGGCCUUCGGGUUGUAAACCGCUUUCAGCAGGGACGAAGCGAGAGUGACGGUACCUGCAGAAGAAGCGCCGGCUAACUACGUGCCAGCAGCCGCGGUAACACGUAGGGCGCGAGCGUUGUCCGGAAUUAUUGGGCGUAAAGAGCUCGUAGGCGGCCUGUUGCGUCCGCUGUGAAAGCCCGGGGCUUAACCCCGGGUCUGCAGUGGAUACGGGCAGGCUAGAGGUAGGUAGGGGAGAAUGGAAUUCCCGGUGUAGCGGUGAAAUGCGCAGAUAUCGGGAGGAACACCGGUGGCGAAGGCGGUUCUCUGGGCCUUACCUGACGCUGAGGAGCGAAAGCGUGGGGAGCGAACA
rnacentral:rRNA from 1 species